rnacentral:pre_miRNA from 1 species
GACUUCAACUGAAAAAGUCAUCAACAACAAAGUUGUAUAAUCCAUCUAGAUCUACAACUUUUAUUUUGGUCAUUUGUUAAUCCGACAAAAUGAUAGUAAUAUUGUUCAUAAAUUUUACAUAUCUCCCAUAUGGUUUCAUAAAUUAUAAGAGAGAUGUAUAAAUUUUGUGAACAACGUUACUAUCACUUUGUCAAAUGAACAAAUGAACAAAAUAAAAUUUGUAGAUCUCAAUUAGUGCUACAACUUUUGUGUUUAUGACUUUUUCAGGUGAAAUC